UACGGGGGGAGCAAGCGUUGUUCGGAUUUACUGGGCGUAAAGGGCGCGUAGGCGGUCAGCACAAGUCAGUUGUGAAAUCUCCGAGCUUAACUCGGAAAGGUCAACUGAAACUGUGCGACUAGAGUGCGGAAGGGGCAACUGGAAUUCUUGGUGUAGCGGUGAAAUGCGUAGAUAUCGAGAGGAACACCUGCGGCGAAGGCGGGUUGCUGGGCUGACACUGACGCUGAUGCGCGAAAGCCAGGGGAGCGAACGGG
rnacentral:rRNA from 1 species